rnacentral:rRNA from 1 species
GACGAACGCUGGCGGCGUGCUUAACACAUGCAAGUCGAACGGAAAGGCCCUGCUUUUGUGGGGUGCUCGAGUGGCGAACGGGUGAGUAACACGUGAGUAACCUGCCCUUGACUUUGGGAUAACUUCAGGAAACUGGGGCUAAUACCGGAUAGGAGCCCCUGCUGCAUGGUGGGGGUUGGAAAGUUUCGGCGGUUGGGGAUGGACUGGCGGCUUAUCAGCUUGUUGGUUGGGUAGUGGCUUACCAAGGCUUUGACGGGUAGCCGGCCUGAGAGGGUGACCGGCCACAUUGGGACUGAGAUACGGACCAGACUCCUACGGGAGGCAGCAGUGGGGAAUAUUGCACAAUGGGCGGAAGCCUGAUGCAGAAACGCCGCGUGCGGGAUGACGGCCUUCGGGUUGUAAACCGCUUUCGCCUGUGACGAAGCGUGAGUGACGGUAAUGGGUAAAGAAGCACCGGCUAACUACGUG